UACAGAGGUCUCAAGCGUUGUUCGGAUUCAUUGGGCGUAAAGGGUGCGUAGGUGGCGCUGUAAGUCGGGUGUGAAACCCCUGGGCUCAACCCAGGGACGCCACCCGAUACUGCUGUGGCUGGAGUCCGGUAGGGGAGCGUGGAAUUCCUGGUGUAGCGGUGAAAUGCGCAGAUAUCAGGAGGAACACCAGCGGCGAAGGCGGCGCUCUGGGCCGGUACUGACGCUGAGGCGCGAAGGCGUGGGGAGCGAACGGG
rnacentral:rRNA from 1 species